ACUAUGAAAUCGUAAAAAAAAUAAAAUUGUUAUCUGGGUAAUACGUAAGGAAUCGAAUUUUUUCAGUAGUUACGAGCGUUUCUCUAUAGCUAAUGCAACUCUACUACCAAUAAGAUAAUAUGUUUUUUUUUCUGCUGCAGCAGUGGAAUUUUUCUCAACAUCAAACCUCGAUUGCAGUAAAAUUUAAACUCUGGACACUUUUCGGUAAUUUUUCUGAGAUAUGUUUUAGUGAAUUUAAGGUCAAAGUUUCGAAGUGGCUAAGAAUAUACUUUGGGAAACACUUGAUUCGGAAAUACACGUGAUAAGACUUCAACGCACACGAGGCUUUAUCGUCAGUGUAUUUGGAUUACACAAUAGUAUAGGCUAUACAAUAGGAAUAUAACUGUCUCCAACGCCAUCGCGUAAUGUUCGUGCAAAAGAGAUUAUGAACGAAGUGAUGAAUGUUUUGAAUUUAUAAUGUGUGUUUUUGUGUGUGUGUCUGUGUACAGCAUAAAUUGUUGGAUUAAUAUUUCAAAUUCAAAAUUCAAGGAUGGUUUACGAUGGAAAAGUAAAUAUCUUUACUGCAUCAGAGGUCAUAAGUAAGAAUUUUCCAACAGUUUUUUAAAAAAAAAAUCGAUUUUUUUUAUAUUGUCGUAAUUCAAAAUAUAAGAACGUUCAAAUUUUUACAAAAUAUGUUUAAAUUGUGAAAAUUUUCAAGUAAUUUGUAGUUUAAAAUUCAUAAAAUUGUUUGUAUCUAAGGUUAAAAAAUUCAACAUAAGUUUUCCUUAAAAUAGUCAUAGAGAAAACUCAAGGCGUCAUUAUAAGAAAAAAUGUUAUGAGCCUUUGAAUUUUAAAUUUAUACAAAAUCGCGUAAUAAUAACGAUUUUUCCUCAAACGAUUUUCAAUAUUUGCUAUUAUUCAAAAAGUAUAAGUAGUUAAUACUUAAAAAAUUUACCACUUAUUUAGAUUGGCAUAUUCUUUACAUAGUUUAAUUUUCAAAAUAUUUCGCUUAUUUUAAGUAUUCGUUUUUGUUUAGUUUUUUUAUUCACCAAGGCUGAUAAACCAUCUCUGUUCAAUUUAGUUUUUCGUAUAUAAUAAUAGGUAUCUAUCAUAGAAUUCAAAUUUACUCAUUUGACCACUAUUUUUUUUAUACCUAUUUAAUAUUUUUAACUGUCGUUUUAUUUAUUUAAUUUUUAAUUAAUUAUAAAAUAUA